AUGGUGGAUCCGGCGAAAGGUAGAGAUACGGCCUCGACGGAGCAAGAGCAGCCCCCCGGACAGCGACCGACAUCCUUCUCAGCGGGGGAGAACGGCGGUGCUGCGCAGGCUAUGGAGGGAGACGAUGUAAAGGCCCCUAGCGUGGAUCAGACCGAACCAAAACCAGCAAGCAAAAACACGCCUGGCGCCGAGACAAUUGAUGGGGAACACACGGACGAGGGGAAUGGUACCAAACCAGCGCAAGUCGCCGACGAAGACAACAGCGGCCAAGCAGAUGAAGAGGGAUGGACAAGACGUCAAAGGAAUAAAAAUGGGACGCCAUUCAGAGCAGCAGCGGAGGGCAAUCGAGAGGGCGAUGGAUGA
rnacentral:rRNA from 1 species